GCGGCGUGCUUAAUACAUGCAAGUCGUGCGAGAAAGUACCCUUCGGGGUGCGAGUAGAGCGGCCAACGGGUGAUUACCCCGUUAGUAACCUACCUCUAAAUCUGGAAUAACUCUGCCAACGCGGAGCUAAUAUCGGAUGUGGUCACGAUUCUGCAUGGUAUUGUGACUAAAGGUGACCUCUCCUUGAAAGGUACCGGUGAGAUAUGGGCUUGCGGACCAUUAGCUAGUUGGUGAGGUAACGGCUCAACAAGGCUACGAUGGAUAACCGGCCUAAGAGGGUGAUCGACCACGUUGGGACUGAUAUACGGCCCAGACCCCUACAGUAUGCAGCAGUAGGGAAUUUUGCGCAAUGGACGAAACUCUUACGCAAUAACGCCGCGUGAGGGAUGACGGCCUUCGGGUUGUAAACCACUGUUGAGUGGGAAUAAAAGCUUUGUGGUUAAUAUCCACAGAGUCUGACGGUACCACUCGAGGAAGCUCCGGCUAACUACGUGCCAGCAGCCGUGGUAAUACUUAUGGGGCUAGCGUUGUUCUGAAUCACUGGGCGUAAAGGGAGUGUAAGCGGACCGGUAAGUUAUGAGUUACAUGUACGGGCUCAACCCGUGAUCUGCUCGGAAUACUGUCGGUCUUGAUUAUGGGAGACGGAGAUAUAAUUCCAUGUGUAGCGGUGGAAUGCUUACAUAUCUGGAAGAACACCACUUGCGAGAGCCUUCUCCUGGACCACUUCUGACGCUAAUGCUCUAAAACUGGGGGAGCGACCCAGGAUUAGAUACCCUGGUAGUCCCAGCCGUCCACGAUGGACACUAGUUGCCGGAGGAGUCAAUCCCUUCGGUGACGAAGUUAACGCAGUAAGUGUCCCACCUGGGGAGUACGCUCGCAAGGGUGAAACUCAAAGGAAUUGACGGGGGCCCGCACAACCGGUGGAGCAUGUGCUGUAAUUAGAUGCGACGCGAAGAACCGAACCUGGGUUUGACAUGGGGGGUGAAAGUUUCCAGAGAUGGAAGCGGGUCAUUCGGGAACACCCCACACAGGUGCCGCAUGGUUGUCGUCAGCUCGUGUCGUGAGAUGUUGGAUUAAGUCCCGCAACGAGCGCAACCCGUGCCAUUAGUUGCCAUCAGGUAAAGCUGGGAACUCUAAGGGGUCAGCUUGGUAUGACCAGGAGGAAGGUGAGGAUGACGCCAAAUCAUCAUGGCUCGUACGCCCAGGGCUAGACACGUGAUACAAUGGCAGGUACAGUGGGAUG
rnacentral:rRNA from 1 species